rnacentral:rRNA from 1 species
UACGAAGGGUGCGAGCGUUAAUCGGAAUUACUGGGCGUAAAGCGUGCGUAGGUGGCUUGUUAAGUCGAAUGUGAAAGCCCCGGGCUUAACCUGGGAACUGCAUCCGAUACUGGCGAGCUUGGAGUUUGGAAGAGGGUGGUGGAAUUCCCGGUGUAGCGGUGAAAUGCGUAGAUAUCUGGAGGAACACCGGUGGCGAAGGCGGCAUCCUGGACCGAAACUGACACUGAGGCGCGAAAGCCAGGGGAGCAAACGGG